rnacentral:rRNA from 1 species
GCUGGCGGCGUGCCUAAUACAUGCAGUCGAGCGGACAGAUGGGAGCUUGCUCCCUGAUGUCAGCGGCGGACGGGUGAGUAACACGUGGGUAACCUGCCUGUAAGACUGGGAUAACUCCGGGAAACCGGGGCUAAUACCGGAUGCUUGAUUGAACCGCAUGGUUCAAUUAUAAAAGGUGGCUUUUAGCUACCACUUACAGAUGGACCCGCGGCGCAUUAGCUAGUUGGUGAGGUAACGGCUCACCAAGGCGACGAUGCGUAGCCGACCUGAGAGGGUGAUCGGCCACACUGGGACUGAGACACGGCCCAGACUCCUACGGGAGGCAGCAGUAGGGAAUCUUCCGCAAUGGACGAAAGUCUGACGGAGCAACGCCGCGUGAGUGAUGAAGGUUUUCGGAUCGUAAAAUUCUGUUUUUUGGGAAGGAACCAAUACCCUUCGAAUAGGGCGGUACCUUGACGGUACCCAACCAGAAAACCACGGCCAACUACGGGCCAGCAGCCGCGGUAAUAAGUAGGUGGCAAGCGUUGUCCGGAAUUUUUGGGCGUAAAGCGGCGGGCAGGCGGGUUCUUAAGUUUGAUGUGAAAGCCCCCCGGCUCAACCGGGGAGGGUCAUUGGAAACUGGGGAACUUGAGUGCAGAAGAGGAGAAUGGAAUUCCACGUGUAGCGGUGAAAUGCGUAGAGAUGUGGAGGAACACCAGUGGCGAAGGCGACUCUCUGGUCUGUAACUGACGCUGAGGCGCGAAAGCGUGGGGAGCGAACAGGAUUAGAUACCCUGGUAGUCCACGCCGUAAACGAUGAGUGCUAAGUGUUAGAGGGUUUCCGCCCUUUAGUGCUGCAGCAAACGCAUUAAGCACUCCGCCUGGGGAGUACGGUCGCAAGACUGAAACUCAAAGGAAUUGACGGGGGCCCGCACAAGCGGUGGAGCAUGUGGUUUAAUUCGAAGCAACGCGAAGAACCUUACCAGGUCUUGACAUCCUCUGACAAUACUAGAGAUAGGGCUUCCCUUCGGGGGCAGAGUGACAGGUGGUGCAUGGUUGUCGUCAGCUCGUGUCGUGAGAUGUUGGGUUAAGUCCCGCAACGA